GUACACUCCUACGGGAGGCAGCAGUGGGGAAUAUUGGACAAUGGGCGCAAGCCUGAUCCAGCCAUGCCGCGUGAGUGAUGAAGGCCCUAGGGUUGUAAAGCUCUUUCACCGGUGAAGAUAAUGACGGUAACCGGAGAAGAAGCCCCGGCUAACUUCGUGCCAGCAGCCGCGGUAAUACGAAGGGGGCUAGCGUUGUUCGGAUUUACUGGGCGUAAAGCGCACGUAGGCGGACUAUUAAGUCAGGGGUGAAAUCCCGGGGCUCAACCCCGGAACUGCCUUUGAUACUGGUAGUCUUGAGUUCGAGAGAGGUGAGUGGAAUUCCGAGUGUAGAGGUGAAAUUCGUAGAUAUUCGGAGGGACACCAGUGGCGAAGGCGGCUCACUGGCUCGAUACUGACGCUGAGGUGCGAAAGCGUGGGGAGCAAACAGGAUUAGAUAUCCGGGUAGUCCCA
rnacentral:rRNA from 1 species